AGCGAACGCUGGCGGCAGGCCUAACACAUGCAAGUCGAACGAACCUUUCGGGGUUAGUGGCGGACGGGUGAGUAACACGUGGGAACGUGCCUUUAGGUUCGGAAUAACUCAGGGAAACUUGUGCUAAUACCGAAUGUGCCCUUCGGGGGAAAGAUUUAUCGCCUUUAGAGCGGCCCGCGUCUGAUUAGCUAGUUGGUUGAGGUAAUGGCUCACCAAGGCGACGAUCAGUAGCUGGUCUGAGAGGAUGAUCAGCCACAUUGGGACUGAGACUCGGCCCAAACUCCUACGGGAGGCAGCAGUGGGGAAUCUUGCGCAAUGGGCGAAAGCCUGACGCAGCCAUGCCGCGUGAAUGAUGAAGGUCUUAGGAUUGUAAAAUUCUUUCACCGGGGACGAUAAUGACGGUACCCGGAGAAGAAGCCCCGGCUAACUUCGUG
rnacentral:rRNA from 1 species